UUCCUGUGAAGAGGUAGGAAUUCAACAAGAAGAUGAGAAGACCCUACAGAGCUUUAAUCUCAUAGCUUAAUCUUUUAAAUACAUUACUUAUUGACCCUAACAAUAUAAACUAUAUAUCUUGGUGGGGGUGACCUCGGAGAAUAAAAAAAAAAAAACAACUCUGAAUGAUUACAGCUCAGACCCACAAGUUAAAACACCCAAAAUCUUAUUGACCCAAAACAUUUUUGAUCAAUGGGCCAGGUUACCCUAGGGAUGACAGCGCAAUCCUAUUCAAGAGUCCAUAUCGACAAUUAGGGUUUACGACCUCGAUGUUGGAUCAGGACAUCACCAUGUUGCAGCAGUUAUUAAAGGUUCGUUUGUUCAGUGAUUAAGGUCCUACGUGAUCUGAUCUGAGUUCAGACUGGAGUAAUCCAGGUCUGUUUCUAACUCUUAACGAUUUCUCCC
rnacentral:ncRNA from 1 species